GGAUGGGUGCACGUGAAGUAGCAGUGGACGCUGGCAUGAGUGUCCUAGUGCCAGUGUGGUGCCUGCACAGAGAUGAUCAAUACUGGCCACACCCACAACACUUCCAGCCUGAGAGGUUCCUAGGUGAUGCCCGAGCACAAAUAGUACCCUACACGUACCUACCUUUCGGCGUGGGACCUCGCAGUUGUAUAGUAUACCAUAACAAUACACCAAAAGACGUGGAAUGAUAACGUACUGAAAUGCACAAAGCUGGUUGGGCAGACCACUGACUUAGACGAUCACAAUCCCCAACAUAAGCUUUAAGACCACAGCUGAAGAAAUGCCGUCAAAUCACCCCUCUCCCUCACUACAGUAUCAAUAUUUCCUGUUCAUUUCCAUUCAGGGAAGAAGUUUGCCAUCUUGGGAGUAAAGGCAGGUCUGUUGUUGCUGAUCUCUGGUCUGGAGGUGCAGCCAUGUCCACUGUCCCCUUAUCCACUGAUUCUCGACCCUCGAGUACUCACCUUGCAGCCCAAGGACGGUGUCUAUGUUAACCUGCAUCCAGUGAACUUAAAAGAAACUGUGAACAAAGAAAUGAUGCAGUAUCAUGCAUCAACACCAGAAGAUGAGAUUAUAAUGGAGGAUCUGAAGAGAUGGUAUACCCAAAAAGACGGAACCUGCCAGCAGUGAUCUUAUACUAGUAUAUGACGUAGCCGAAUAUAAAAAAAAAUAUUGUGCACUGGCGAAUUGCACUAUAAAAAUGUUAGAAUGUUAGAUUCAAAACUUAUCGUCUGCAAGAAACAAUAGUGCUGCAAUUUAACUCUACACGACUAUAAUAUAUACUUUCUCAUGUUAUAGAAAUAGUUUGUCCACUAACUUGGUGUGUGUCUGUGAGUUGUCAAGAGAGGGUAGGUGCCUUGAUUUAAAUGAACUGCUUUUGAUCCAAGGAAUUUGAGCUACCCCGACCUUUCCUUGGAUUGAAGCUGUUUUCUUUCCAUUCCCCAGGCAUUAUAUGGCGCCCUACGGAUUUGGUGCUUCACGAUGAAUGUAAUAUAGUAAAGUCAGGUUAAACAUUAUGCUUGGAACUCGAGAACUCUGUAGCUUGUAGGAUCCAAGAAAGUGCUUGCUAGAACAGCAUGAAUGAUCCAGAGUAGAGAGAAGGGAUGCAGUAUACUUGAUAUAUCUGCAACAUUUAUCAGUAACUUCCUAAUAUACACAAAGUAAAGUGAAUCAAGAGCAUACAUAACUGAGGUUACCGCUAGACCCCUGUGGCUGUCUUCAAGAAGGUGCUGGACAGGUACCUAAAGUCAGUACCUGACCAGCCGAGCUGUGGUUUGUACGUCAGUUUACGUACGGUCAAUAGUAACAGCCUGGUUGAUUAAUCCCUAGUCCACGAAGCCUGGUCACUGACCGGGCCGCGGGGGCGUUGACCCCCAAAACCCUCUCCUGCUUAAUUUCAACUCACAUUCAAAUUUCAUUUUUUUUAUGCAGUACAAAGAUAAUGUGGUUUAUAUGUAAUAAAACAUUGUGAGGCACAAAACAAAGUCACUAGUAUGCAACGCAUUUCCGGCAUUAAUUUGUUAUUAUUUUCAAAAAAUAAAAAGCAAAACUCAUCAUAGUUAUUCAGUGCUGGUCAACUUGCAGUAUUUUAUACCACUGGUCGUCUCCUGCGAAAGUAUGUGGGACAAAAAAAAAAAAAUAUUCACUAUAAUUUAUUCAAGAGGUGUCCUGCCUCUACUGAGACAUGACAACUCGACCUUUGAACUGAAACAUCUCCACUCGACCUUAAGACUUGAGUCCAGCUAACAGGGUUCUCAAGGAUCACUUCAGAAAUGUUAUCUUCUUACUCUUCAACAGAACAUCAAAUCCAUUUGUCUCCACUCUGAUCUAAGACAGCUUCUCCAACUCCUUCUGGACUGUCCCCUACUCCUUCGAUCAGUCCCAGAUUUAUGCACCUCUUGUCCCUAUUUUGACUCACGAAAUCGUAAUGACACGAUUGCAAACAGACCAUACCACGGGUGGGGUUUGAACCCGCGUGGCUAACGCGACGGUCUGGAGUUUUGAGACUCUCUGACCGCGGGUUCAGCCCCCCCACCUGUGGUAUGGUUUGUCCCUACUCUAUUCUGCUCCACUCUCUAUAUCCUCAAACCAUCUGAAAAAUCCCUCCUCCGCCUCUGAAUUGUACCUUUUGUAGCACCAUCUUUCACUAUCUGCGUUCAGGAUUCUCUGCAUAAUAUUCACGUUACACAUUGUGACCAGAUCUACCUGGAGUUCAUUACCUUCGUACCUUGUUCAGCUAUCAUAACUUUGUGGUCCAGUCCCUGGACCAAUUAUGUACCUCUGUAAUCUUUUAACUACCGCCCACAGGAUGGGUAUGGGCUGCAUAAUAAACAUAUUAAACUAACUAACAUUGCUGUCAAACAUAACAUCACUGCCCGCGGCCUCAUAUACAUAUGAAAGUGUUGACGUUGUAUUACUGGGUAUGAAGUGCAUAAUAAAGAUAAUAAACUAUUGCUGUAUUAAUGUAUUCUGGUACAUUCUUCUGUUUAUCUUCAUAUAUAAUAUUUUUCAGAGAUACCUCUACACCUCGCUUACCUUUUUCCUCUCAUCUGUUCUAUGGUUUACCUCGUCUUUGCUACAUUCUUCUUCCGACAUCUUCAUCACUAGAUACCUUAAUACAAUCACUUCCUUCAUAUUCCCUCCAAUCUGACAUUCAAUCUUUCAUCGUAGAGACUUUUUUUUUGGUGCUCUCAUCAUUUUUGCUCUUUACUAUACUCACUUUUAAUUUCCUUUUAUACAUCUUCCCAAAUUACUCCACCAACCUUCGAAAUUUCUCUUAAGAAUCUCCCCAAAAGUGUCAUCUGCAAAGAGAAAUUAUGAAAACCCACUUUGUAACAAAUUCAAUGUAUUUUAAUCUCACAUCUUCCCUAAUAACUCAAGCAUUUGUUUAUUACAAUAUUUAUAAUUAAAUUUUUAAAACCAUGGUGGCCAUCACACAGUCCUGUCGCAUCCUGGGACACUGACCUAAUUUGCCCGACAUGCUGAGCAUAACAAGGGGACUUUCUCUUUAGUAGUAUGUCAUUGUCAGCUAGGACUGUAUACCUUGUACAUGUACUUGUAGUAAAUAAAGAUAUUAUUAAUAU